UCAUGUUCACUACUGUUAGUCUAGGAGUUCCUUUUGUUUCCUAUGUUUCCCUGUCCUUUUGUCUCUUGUGUGUUUUCCCCUGGUUUGUCUAGUUUGUCAGUGUGUCGGGAGGUGUGGCCUUCCUCCUCCUCCUCCUCCUCUGGGCGGGCUCGGCUGGAGCAGCUGCCACCAAUCAUCAUCACCUGCAGUAUAUAUACCCCGGUUUUCCUGCUACUCGUCGCCAGAUCGUUCCGUCGCCCUCAGUGGUCUGUCACCUGCCAGCUGUGGCUGCUCCCCACCUGCCUGCUCACUCCUGCACUCUGCUCAUUGGAUUAAUUUGGAACCUUUUUGGAAUAAAUAUUCUUUUUGUUCUA